rnacentral:rRNA from 1 species
GAUGAACGCUGGCGGCGUGCCUAAUACAUGCAAGUCGAGCGAACAGAUGAGGAGCUUGCUCCUCUGACGUUAGCGGCGGACGGGUGAGUAACACGUGGAUAACCUACCUAUAAGACUGGGAUAACUUCGGGAAACCGGAGCUAAUACCGGAUAAUAUAUUGAACCGCAUGGUUCAAUAGUGAAAGACGGUUUUGCUGUCACUUAUAGAUGGAUCCGCGCCGCAUUAGCUAGUUGGUAAGGUAACGGCUUACCAAGGCAGCGAUGCGUAGCCGACCUGAGAGGGUGAUCGGCCACACUGGAACUGAGACACGGUCCAGACUCCUACGGGAGGCAGCAGUAGGGAAUCUUCCGCAAUGGGCGAAAGCCUGACGGAGCAACGCCGCGUGAGUGAUGAAGGUCUUCGGAUCGUAAAACUCUGUUAUUAGGGAAGAACAAAUGUGUAAGUAACUAUGCACGUCUUGACGGUACCUAAUCAGAAAGCCACGGCUAACUACGUG